rnacentral:rRNA from 1 species
UAAAUUGAGAGUUUGAUCCUGGCUCAGGAUGAACGCUGGCGGCGUGCUUAACACAUGCAAGUCGAGCGAUGAAGUUUCCUUCGGGAAACGGAUUAGCGGCGGACGGGUGAGUAACACGUGGGUAACCUGCCUCAUGGAGUGGAAUAGCCUUCCGAAAGGAAGAUUAAUACCGCAUAAUGUUGAAAGAUGGCAUCAUCAUUCAACCAAAGGAGCAAUC